AAGUCGUAACAAGGUUUCCGUAGGUGAACCUGCGGAAGGAUCAUUAAAGAAUGAUACCUUUUUUUGGUAUACACUUCUUAUCCCUUUGUCUACAUACUCUGUUGCUUCCAUGGUGCCAGUCAGUUUUGACUCUGGACAGGUGAUUUAUUUUUCCUGUUUGGAAGUGCCCAUGGGUAGUCUUCCCUCUAGGGGGAAGACUGUUUGAAAAACCUUAUGUGAUAGAAUUGUCUGAAUAUAUAUGAAAAUAUAAAACUUUCAACAACGGAUCUCUAGGCUCUU
rnacentral:misc_RNA from 1 species